CGACUGCUUUCGAAUUUUCAAAAUAAUUCCCACUCAAGUCUUCCACUUGCGACGAUAAAGCAGCGUGAACCACCCGUUGAGCGCCCUGUUCUUCAGUCUACAUAAAUUACAGUUAAAGAAUUUCGUAACUGAAAAUUCGGAUGCAACGUGGGAAAUCAGAUCACGCGGAAAAUCAGGAAGAUUCUGCUAACGCCUUUACGGUGGACCAUCCGAUCCCGCGAUUUCCACCUGUGACGACGACGUAUUCCUUUUCUCUGUUUAUGGGACCUCACAUUUCAGAAAUCAAACUACAGCUGCCGAGGAUUAGCAUUUUUAAAAAUAUGUAGAAAUCC
rnacentral:lncRNA from 1 species